rnacentral:rRNA from 2 species
CUGCCAGUGAUAAACUGGAGGAAGGUGGGGAUGACGUCAAGUCAUCAUGGCCCUUACGACCAGGGCUACACACGUGCUACAAUGGCGCAUACAAAGAGAAGCGACCUCGCGAGAGCAAGCGGACCUCAUAAAGUGCGUCGUAGUCCGGAUUGGAGUCUGCAACUCGACUCCAUGAAGUCGGAAUCGCUAGUAAUCGUGGAUCAGAAUGCCACGGUGAAUACGUUCCCGGGCCUUGUACACACCGCCCGUCACACCAUGGGAGUGGGUUGCAAAAGAAGUAGGUAGCUUAACCUUCGGGAGGGCGCUUACCACUUUGUGAUUCAUGACUGGGGUGAAGUCGUAACAAGGUAACCGUAGGGGAACCUGCGGUUGGAUCAC